AGCUGUCCCUAGUACGAGAGGACCGGGACGGACGCAGCUCUCGUGUGCCAGUUGUCUUGCCAAGGGCAUGGCUGGUUAGCGACCUGCGGAAAGGAUAACCGCUGAAAGCAUCUAAGCGGGAAGCCUGUUCCGAGAUGAGAUCUCCCACCGGGUUAACCGGGUAAGGCCCGUGGCAGACUACCACGUAGAUAGGCCGGAAGUGUAAGCGCGGCAACGCGUUCAGCUGACCGGUACUAAUCGGCCGAGGGCUUAGG
rnacentral:rRNA from 1 species